rnacentral:rRNA from 1 species
AUACGGAGGAUCCGAGCGUUAUCCGGAUUUAUUGGGUUUAAAGGGAGCGUAGGUGGAUUGUUAAGUCAGUUGUGAAAGUUUGCGGCUCAACCGUAAAAUUGCAGUUGAAACUGGCAGUCUUGAGUACAGUAGAGGUGGGCGGAAUUCGUGGGGUAGAGGUGAAAUGCUUAGAUAUCACGAAGAACUCCGAUUGCGAAGGCAGCUCACUAGACUGUUACUGACACUGAUGCUCGAAAGUGUGGGUAUCAAACAGGAUUAGAUACCCUGGUAGUCCACACAGUAAACGAUGAAUACUCGCUGUUUGCGAUAUACAGUAAGCGGUCAAGCGAAAGCAUUAAGCAUUCCACCUGGGGAGUACGUUCGCAAGAAUGAAACUUAAAGGAAUUGACGGGG